AAUAAUAAAUUGCCAUGCCAAAUAUGGCAAUAAUAUGCUGCCAGUGCCAUGCGCGCGCCCAUGCCUUCCUACCACACACACACACCCACACCAUCACUACGUCGUCCAAGCUUGCUGCCUAUAUAUACACGCCUGCCAGAGUGCCAGCGCUGCGUGCCCUGCCCAUGGUCUAGCUAGCUCAUCGACCAGGCGUUCGGCGCGGCGAGCUUGCAGCGGCUCUCGAUCGUGCAUGCGGAGGGGCGAGCAAACCGUGCUGGAGAAGCAGGGCACGUGCUCGUCGUCGCUGCAUGCGUGGUCGUCGUCGCAGCACGUGCGCUCCUUCUCCAACAUGGCUUCUCGCCCCCAUCAUCGUCGUCAGUUCUCCGGCCGGCCGUGCACCACCGCGCUCGCCUCGCAAAUGGGAGGGCUCAUCUCAUCGGCCACCGCCGAUGUGGAGGGCUGCUGGCCUGACCUCGUCUAAUGCCGACUCUAAUGCAAGGCGCAAAAACGUACGGUGUGAAGUAGCUGGUCGUGGGGAGUAAGGUCUAGUAGGGUUGCCAUUUAGGUACUUCUAUUCUACCAGCAAAGGUUCGGCAUUUGGAGAAAUGAGAAAUGAUAUUAGCAGUAUAUAUAAGCACAAAAUUAAUCUAGACUUCGUUUAAUCUAGUGAGAAUUGGAGGGUAAUAAUCCCCUCCAAUCCCCUUAUGGCCUUGUUUAAUAAUUGCAUUCGUGUAUCCAAGUUAUUUCACAUCCUAAUAUUCACCCCACCAGGCCCACACGUGUGGAUUUUGAUGAGUGCAAGUGCACUCAAACAAGGGGAACGACAACGUGGGGAUUUCAGGUAUGUCCUUCCCAGCGAAAAAAUGCUGUUGGCCUAUUGUGGUUGCAUCCCAUGUUCCCUUUAAUUUUGUACAUAGAGCGGCCGGUGUGAUGAGGCCUACGCGUACGACAGUGGACAGGCCUCAGGAGAUGCUUCUAUGUGCAAGCACAAGAUGCCGAUCGACGAUGACCAGUAGUGUCUCAGUACAUUCCAGCGCUGGGUGUUCAAUCCAUCAGAUAUUUGAAAGCCAACUGAUAAUAAGAGACAGUGUUUUUUGAGGUACGUGUCUUUCCACUUGACUGUUCCUGGGCCUUGUUCAGUUUCGAAAAGUUUUUAGAUUUUGACACUGUAGCACUUUCAUUUUUAUUUGACAAACAUUAUCUAAUCCUAAAGUAAUUAGGCUUAAAAGAUUCGUCUCGCGAUUUACAGACAAAUUGUGCAACUAGUUUUUGGUUUCGUCUAUAUUUAAUGUUUCAUGCAUACUCCCUCUGUCCCAUAUUAUCUGUCGUUUGGGAGUCAUGCACAGAGACCAAUACCAAAGCUCAAAGACACAAAUAACCCUAUAAAAUCAGUACACAUGAUAUGACAUGACAUGAAUCUCUCUCUCACACCGGCUGCUUGACGGUGACAGGAUAAAGACUGCAACCCUAUAAGAUAAGUCUUGGACCCAUAUACAGUAGCCUAGACGACACAUAUUUUGGGACAUGGAUCUUACUCUAGAACGACAUAUAAUUCGGGACAGAGGGAGUAUACCAUAAGAUUCGAUGUGACAGGGAAUUUUAAAAAGUUUUUUGUUUUUGGAGUGAACUAAAUAAGGCCCUGGUUCAUACUCUCUUCAUCCCUAAAUAUCUAUCUUUCUCGCUUUUCGAGAAAUAAUUUUGAUUAAUUUUAUAUAAAAAAUAUUAAUAUUUAUGAUGCAUAAUUGAUAUUGUUAGAUAGAUAUUUGAAUCUAGUUUUUAAUUCCUUAAUAAAUUUAUUAAGAGAUACAAAUAUUGCACAUAUUUUCUAUAAAUCUAGUCAAAGUUGUGACAUGAAAAUCCAAACGACAAAUAAUAAAGGACACACCUUCGUCUAAAAAAGAAUAUGACUUUUGUUUUUUAAAAUCAAACAGUUUAAAAUUUAACUUAAUAUUCAAUUGAAUUUAUAUUUAAAAACGCUAAUAUUUAUGAUAUCAAAUUAGCGCCAUUAGAUUAAUCAUAUUUGAGUCAUAUUUGAUAAUGAUAAUCGACGAGAGUCUAACAUAGAGGUAUUGUAAACCCUUAGAUUAGGGGAUGACAAUCCGACUAAGUCCAUGAGUGGUUUUUUUCUAAUUAGCUGGAACUCGAGGGGCUACACCCAUCGAAGGAGUGAGCUAGGAGAGGCUAAGUCUUUGCUCGGACCACCCUUGCUUGGGCUCGGGGGCUUGGACAAGGCACAAGAAGUUCAUGACCUAGGAGAGCCUCGGUCGAGCAAGAGCCCCAUGGUCACCCUAGCCUUUGGCUCAAGUCAACGUGUACCCUAUACAACGUUGGAAACAAGCCUCCAGAUCUAUUCGGUGCUCGGAGCCUGAUAAGCAGAGAGCAAAAGAGGCACCAGGCCUCCCUUUCGCUCCACAACCGCGAGGUGUUGUUGGCCACCCCCUCGACAUAGUCACGUAUAAGAGCAUGACGUGUUAGGACGACAAGGAACUUCUCUAAGCCUACAUAGUGGAGGGAUCUGGGUCCACAUGGCAACCUUCUUUCGGGUAGACGUUGUGGUUAGCAAACAACACCUAGUGGUUAGCGCCACGUUGUAACAUUGGUGUCGGAGGGCGGUUGUGAUUUUUGUCGGCCCUUAGCUACGAGACAAAGCAGAAUCGGAGGCGUCAUGAAGAAGAAGACCGAAGCACAGGGUGAAAAAACCUACAAAAAACCAUUUGAUUUGUACUCUCAGUCUCAGUCAUCUCCCCGAUAUAUAAGGGAAGGCAUGAGCUCUUGUGGAAGUAAUGAGACCCAACUAGACUGAGGCAGAUCAAAUCCUAGACUAGCAUAGUGCUUUCCCUGCCAAUUUUCCUCCUCCAUUAUAUAUAAGAACUCUUGAUUGAGUAUUCCUAACAAAAAAAGAACAAUAUUAUUACUAGAUUUUGGGCUUAGAUGCCCAAACCGGAAUAAAACAUUUAUGUUUUGAGUGCUUAAUCCUCACGGAGAUACACACAUCGACCCCUAUCAAACAACUUGAUUACUGCCAUUACGAACCUAUGAUAUUUUUUGAAACUUAGUUAAACUUAUAGAAUUUUGACUCAUUUUAAAUUCAUAAUCGCGUCCUUUUUUAGAGGGAAGCAAUAAGCAUCGUAUCGAAAAAUGCAGGAUGCUUCCUUGUCAAUCUCAACCGCAUGAGCCACCCGUUUCGUGAUUAUUCCAUGGCAAGAUUUUCCCUGCAUUUGACCUUUUCCCCAUAUAAUAAAGCAUGGAUCGAUGUGAAACGCAUGCAUCCCCCUAACCAGCACAACACAUACUGUAUAUCAAAGUGUUUUCUCUUUUUCUUUGAAACAAAUGGGUAUACAAAAAGUGUUUUCUUCUGUGUCAUGGUGCAGCCGUUGUCAAACAGAUAUGACAAAUAUGAUUGCGACAAUAUGUGAAUGAACUAUGAUAAGAGCACCUGAAUAAACUGAAGAAAGUAAACACUUCAUGCACGAUAUAGAUCUAUAAUAUACAGAGACAGUAAACCUACUGUUAAUGUAUACGCCAGGCCAGAUGGCAGAUUACACAAAUCAUACAUACAGACAUCGGACAGAAGGCAAAAAA